GUUAGAGUCCGUCAAAAGAGUUGCCGGAUAUACUGUCAGAGGAAAGCGAGAACGGUUUAGUGUACAUUUGCUCCCUUCCCAAUUGAAAAGGAAAAGAAAGCGAUAGUUGUAAUAAAACCCUGACCUUUCAGCCGUGACCACUAUGGACUCUUCCCCUUCUGAUUCUACGCACAAGGUUCUGGAGAGGGUGUCCGCAGAGCUGGGUAGCACUCCAACUUCACAUGAUGUGGCCGUGUACCUGGACAAACAGGACCCAUUGCAACAUCUGCGCAAACAGUUUCUGGUCCCCAGAGUUGGUGACCUGUCCCCCUCUGACCUCUCACUGGUGGAUGGCACCAAGGACUGCAUUUACUUUGUGGGAAACUCACUCGGACUGCAGCCAAAAUCUGCCAGAAAGUAUAUCGACGAGGAGCUAGACAAAUGGGCCAAAACGGGGAUCCAUGGACACAUGGAAGGGGGACGACCUUGGGCCUAUGCAGAGAAUACACUUGAGGACCUUAUGGCAAAUGUAGUCGGCGCCAAGCCCGGAGAGGUUGCCUUGAUGAACGGAUUAACGGUUAAUUUGCAUCUGCUGCUGCUGUCCUUCUACAGACCGACAGCUGAACGUCACAAAAUCCUGAUCGAGGACAAGGCCUUUCCCUCCGACCAUUACGCCGUGGAGUCCCAGAUCCGGCUGCGCGGGUUCGACCCCCAGCAGAGCUUGCUGCUGAUGAAAUCCAGAGAGGGGGAGGACACUCUGAGGACGGAGGAUAUCCUGGCCACGAUCGAGAGGGAGGGAGACUCCAUCGCCGUGGUCCUGUUCAGCGGGGUUCAGUACUACACAGGCCAGCUUUUCAACAUGGCCGCUAUCAGCAGGGCUGGCCAGAGCAAGGGCUGCUACGUGGGGUUCGACUGCGCGCACGCGGUGGGAAACGCAGAGCUCCGACUGCACGACUGGGGGGUGGACUUUGCCUGCUGGUGCUCUUAUAAGUAUUUAAAUUCCGGAGCGGGGGGUUUGGCUGGGGCCUUUAUCCACGAGAAACAUGCCCACACAGUCAAAUCGACGUUGUGGGGCUGGUGGGGGCACGACUUGAAGACGCGAUUCGCUAUGAAUAACGAUCAAUUUGUCUCCCCACUGCCAGCAUCCCUAACUGGCUCAUGAAAGAUUUGGAGAACACCUUGAGAUUGUGGGGGUGGAAGUUCAGGUUGAGAUUGAGACUCCGACAGGAAGGGGCGAACGGCUUAAAUUGAACGGCAAAAGUGUGUGAAUGCAAGAAAUUAAUUUGUGAGCAGAAUUCCCCUUGCUCGCUUAUGGAUUUGUUCUUCCCUCUCUCAAAGCCUGGUCCGCCACACUCCGAUUCGACACGCUUGCACUCAGUCGCACCAUUUGCUUAGGGAUUUUUUCUGCACACACUCAAAACUGCAUCCUCUCCCUUGCGGAUUUAUUUAUUUUUCUCAUCUGCAUCGCUGCCAGAGUCCAGUCAAUAAGAAUUUGCUGGAAAUGUUCUUGCCCAAAUCUAGGCGAGGCUGUCACCAAACUGUGUGUUUAGUUUGUGGCUUUGGAGAAGCAGAGUGGACAGCAAUUCAAUUAGUAUCUGAAAAGCAGCAACAAAACAGGUCCCUUUAUAUAUACUGAAGAUUUUUAUGUGUGUGUGUGUGCGUGUGUGAUUGUAUGUGUUUGUGUAUUUGUGAUCUCCUCCAGAUGUUGUAUAAAUGUGAGGCCCUUGCAGUAGCUGGGCAGCUCUGAUGCUCGUGUACAGAGAUGAGCAGCAUUUCAAAUGCAUGUAUUUGUAUAUGAAUGUAUGCAGCUCAGAAUAUGUAUUCCCAUGUAUUACAUUUACAUUUACAUUUUAGUCAUUUGGCAGACGCUUUUAAUCCAAAGCGACUUACAAGUGCAUAGGUUCUACCAUAAGUCAGAGCAUCACAUCCAGAAACUAGCAAAAUACACAGGAAAUGCUGUUCUAAACAUAGUGGUCAUCAGAAGUGAAUUUUUUUUUUUUUUUUAUUUAUUUUUUUUGGGGUGGGGGGUUAGACAAGGAUAGGGAUAUCAGAAAGGAGGGGCAGGGGAAAUCAGGAGGGAGGACUAAGGUAGAGUUUGAAAAGGUGGGUUUUGAGUCUGCGUCGAAAUAGGGGGAGGGAUUCUGCUGUUCUGACAGUGGUAGGCAAGUCAUGUAUUUACUUCAUAUGUUAUAGUGGUUGAUCAUGUCUUUUUAUGUAUGGUUCAUACAACUGUCUCUCCUUCAAGACAAUAUAUGGCUCCGCCAUUUUAAUUGUAUCAGAUUAUUAUAAAAUGGCUUCCAAAAAUGCAGUUUUUUUAUAUAUAUAAUCCCUGUCCAUAAAUUACACAUAUUUAAAAAUGUCUACGGGUUCUUUGGACACCGAUUAAUGUCCCCAACCUUAUGGUUUUCAUAUUUGUUUUAGCCCCUAUUCUGAUGGCAGAUCAUUAAAAUGGCAUUUACGGUCACUGUCAAUUAAAUCUCCCUCAGAAUUAUAACCACCAGACUACUCAAUUUAAUUUGGAGCUGUGCCUGCUCUCCAUCUUUUUUUAAAGAAGUCUUUUGCACUCGACUCACUCAUACUGCCAUCUCAUGACGAGCCUUUGAACUGCAAGAAACGGAACAAAUUGCUUUUUUGUUCGUAGUUCACUCAGUCGGUUUGGUGUUAAUAUGAGGAGAGGAGAACCAAAAGUCUCGUUCUUCCACAGUAAUGGAUCUGCUCCCAGGGGUAGGUGGAUACAGGAUCUCAAACCAGCCAAUUCUUCUGGUGUGCACCCUGCAGGCAAGCUUAGACACUGUGGUCAUUCCAGGCACACAGAGCAUUAUCCAAAUGUCGCUGUGACCA